AGUCCUGCCACCAUUCCUUCCAGUCGCCCCACUCGGAUAAGGCACUCUAUUUUGUGAAUUCUAUCAAAAUAAAUUACCUUAUCCUUGGAGGCUGUUGAGAAUGAACUCUCUAGCCCAAC
rnacentral:precursor_RNA from 12 species